AAUAGAUACCCCGGUAGUCCACGCCGUAAACGAUGAGUGCUAAGUGUUAGAGGGUUUCCGCCCUUUAGUGCUGCAGCUAACGCAUUAAGCACUCCGCCUGGGGAGUACGGUCGCAAGACUGAAACUCAAAGGAAUUGACGGGGGCCCGCACAAGCGGUGGAGCAUGUGGUUUAAUUCGAAGCAACGCGAAGAACCUUACCAGGUCUUGACAUCCUCUGACAACUCUAGAGAUAGAGCGUUCCCCUUCGGGGGACAGAGUGACAGGUGGUGCAUGGUUGUCGUCAGCUCGUGUCGUGAGAUGUUGGGUUAAGUCCCGCAACGAGCGCAACCCUUGAUCUUAGUUGCCAGCAUUCAGUUGGGCACUCUAAGGUGACUGUCGGUGACAAACCGGAGGAAGGUGGGGAUGACGUCAAAUCAUCAUGCCCCUUAUGACCUGGGCUACACACGUGCUACAAUGGAUGGUACAAAGGGCUGCAAGACCGCGAGGUCAAGCCAAUCCCAUAAAACCAUUCUCAGUUCGGAUUGUAGG
rnacentral:rRNA from 1 species